UUUGAGUUUCGAUCUAAAAACUAGGAUU
rnacentral:sRNA from 1 species